AAAUGCGAUAAGUAAUGUGAAUUGCAGAAUUCAGUGAAUCAUCGAAUCUUUGAACGCACCUUGCGCUCCUUGGUAUUCCUUGGAGCAUGCCUGUUUGAGUAUCAUGAAAUCUUCAAAGUAAAUCUUUUGUUAACUCAAUUGGUUUCUACUUUGGUAUUGGAGGUCUUUGCAGCUUCACACCUGCUCCUCUUUGUUCAUUAGCUGGAUCUCAGUGUUAUGCUUGGUUCCACUCGGCGUGAUAAGUUAUCUAUCGCUGAGGACACUGUAAAAGGUGGCCAAGGUAAAUGCAGAUGAACCGCUUCUAAUAGUCCAUUGACUUGGACAAUACUUUUAUGAUCUGAUCUCAAAUCAAGUAGGACUACCCGCUGAACUUAAGC
rnacentral:misc_RNA from 1 species